AAAGAAGAAGAAGAAGAAAGAGAUGAAUAAUGGAAAAGGAAAUGGAAAGAAUAAAGUGCAUAAGGUGAAAUAAAAUGUACAAAUCCAUAUGUGUUGACCAAAUGACAUUGAAGUCAAAGUCAAACAAUGAGAAACCAGAAAUGGGAUGGAGAUUGGAGGUCAAAUAAUAAGCAAAAUAUUUUUGGCAUUUUUAAUAUUAAAAAUAAACUUGAAUUAAAAAUAAAAGAAAGGUCAAACUUCAAAAUCACUUCAAAUCAAAC
rnacentral:lncRNA from 1 species